UAGAAUGUGUAUGGUUUUGUACAUAUGUGUAUGAUAGAAUACUAAAAGUGUUAUGAAUUAGAGGGCACGAGAA
rnacentral:tRNA from 1 species